UUCUAGCCCAGAUAGAAGUGGAAAUCCUUUUUUAUCCGCUUUUUAGCGGGAAAAAAGAUUGUAACGAAUAGCUGGAAAUAGC
rfam:Flavobacterium frigoris strain DSM 15719 genome assembly, contig: Ga0131223_101